ensembl:lncRNA
UCUUGGUGGAGUUCCCUGCAUACCUGAGGUCUUCUUGGGAAUGCUGAAAGACCACAAUGAAAAACCUUGAUACUUUUAAAGAGGAACUUGAAGGCAGCUUGUGCUAUGUCCACUGAUACUAUUCCAUGAAAGAUGAAUUUCGUGAUCCUUCUACAUUCAACAAAGGAACCUAAUUUAGCUGAAUAGACUGUUUUCUAAUUUCAUCAUUGGAUUCUGACUGUUGUACUGACUUCUCUGUGAUUAUAAAAAGGCAUUCCAUUUUUAGGUGAAAGAUGCUGAUAUUCUAAAAUAGCUUCCAAUGUGUAGACACUGAAAGUAUGGCAAGUUCGACAUAAGCGUAGAUGUUACAGCAACGAGACCAUGAGUUAAAGAGGAGGUUACACAGGCAAUAUGAUUGUAGCAAGCUCAAUUACAGUAGGAGUUAAUUUGAUAGGGAUCAUAGACCUACACUGUAGCCAAUUAGUAGAAUGGAACCAGAGUACACACAACAAAAGGGCUUGAUAAUAAGCAAAGUGCUUAGGAACAGAAGCCAAAUGAAAAUGAAAUAAAAGGCUGUGAUCCAAAAAUCUAUGGUCUUGAGAAUAUGGGACGGCCUCCAAAUGGAUGAUUAUGGCAUUUAUCACAAGGUACAUUGGGUCAAAAUACCCAUUAAGGUUGCUACAGAAAUUUCAUAAACAGGAAACUGCAUAAAGAAAAAGGUGAUUUGGAAAAGGAGGAAAAUACUAAUCCAAUUUGGUAUCACUUCUCUUGGAUCUGCUGAGGUAACACAGAGGCUUAUGUUUAUCCUGCUUAACUUCCAGACCAUAACUGCUCAUCUGAUGUAGGAGCCUAUUUGCCUUAGAGUUGGUCCUGAUGUUGUCAGCAAAGAAGAGGUCUUUCCAGUAGCUGGCCUGACCAGGAGUGCUGGGGGACUCACUGUGCUUUGGAGGUGACAAGUUCCCUUGACAGACAGAGAACACGGGGUGGCUUUCAGCUAAGGUGCGUUGGUUUGACUCCAGAAGAUAGGAAUUUAGGCAACAGAGCUUGUUACAACAGGAAACUCUUCUUUCUCUAAGAGAACAAAUGGAGGGACUGAUACUUGAUUCUAAACAUAGGUGUUACAUGUCCAUGUGACAUUGCAUUACACCUUUAAGGUGUAAUGGCACAAAAUAAGGUGUAAACUUUAAGGUCUUAUGCUAUUACAAGAUUUUAACAUGUAGAAAACUUUACCAUAACCUAAAAGAGUCAUGAUAGUAAGACUUACAAUAAAUGAUGAUGACAGAUUGAUAAUGGGGGGGGGGGGGGAAGGGGAGGGGAGUAAGCAGAGCAAAUGGCACAAAAGCACAGUUAGAUGGUGCACCACUGAGGUCUCUACGAAUGCUAACGCUCUGAGAAAGAGCAAGGCUCCAGAAGUCUUGCUGCAGAAGGAAUGAGAAUUACAUUGCAACAGGAAACAGCAAGGGACAGAUUGCACUGAGCUGGGAUUGAUAAUUCUGAGGGUGUCCGAAAGAGAUGGAUGAAAGAAGGUCCAUUUGAGAUCACGCUGAGAAACUCCAUGUGCUACACCUUGGAAUCAUAUGGACAAAUUCAUUUUACAGCCUGCAGAGACUAUUAUGAUAAUUGCUUUUCUGAAACAUAGAGUCUUAUCUCUUUAUUUUGCAUGAAGCUGCUAAUGUCUACAAUUUAAAUGUACCAGAUGCUUGCACUAAGAAAGUUUCUAAAAGAUUUCAAAUAGUGAAGAAUCCAUUCUUUCUCUUGCUAAUGUGCUCCCUUUAUUAGUUAUUAAUUUUGUCCUUGUGGCUACCAUCUAUUUCACCCCGUUGCACGUAUUUCCUGCUGAUGUAGAGAUUAAUACAUUAAUAUCUCUCCUCAUAUUCAGAAAUGGGUAACUCUUCCUCCUGUGAUAAAAUAAACAGACUUCUGUCCUUCUUUUG